AACGCUGGCGGCAGGCCUAACACAUGCAAGUCGAACGGUAACAGGAAACAGCUUGCUGUUUCGCUGACGAGUGGCGGACGGGUGAGUAAUGUCUGGGAAACUGCCUGAUGGAGGGGGAUAACUACUGGAAACGGUAGCUAAUACCGCAUAACGUCGCAAGACCAAAGAGGGGGACCUUCGGGCCUCUUGCCAUCGGAUGUGCCCAGAUGGGAUUAGCUUGUUGGUGGGGUAACGGCUCACCAAGGCGACGAUCCCUAGCUGGUCUGAGAGGAUGACCAGCCACACUGGAACUGAGACACGGUCCAGACUCCUACGGGAGGCAGCAGUGGGGAAUAUUGCACAAUGGGCGCAAGCCUGAUGCAGCCAUGCCGCGUGUAUGAAGAAGGCCUUCGGGUUGUAAAGUACUUUCAGCGGGGAGGAAGGGAGUAAAGUUAAUACCUUUGCUCAUUGACGUUACCCGCAGAAGAAGCACCGGCUAACUCCGUGCCAGCAGCCGCGGUAAUACGGAGGGUGCAAGCGUUAAUCGGAAUUACUGGGCGUAAAGCGCACGCAGGCGGUUUGUUAAGUCAGAUGUGAAAUCCCCGGGCUCAACCUGGGAACUGCAUCUGAUACUGGCAAGCUUGAGUCUCGUAGAGGGGGGUAGAAUUCCAGGUGUAGCGGUGAAAUGCGUAGAGAUCUGGAGGAAUACCGGUGGCGAAGGCGGCCCCCUGGACGAAGACUGACGCUCAGGUGCGAAAGCGUGGGGAGCAAACAGGAUUAGAUACCCUGGUAGUCCACGCCGUAAACGAUGUCGACUUGGAGGUUGUGCCCUUGAGGCGUGGCUUCCGGAGCUAACGCGUUAAGUCGACCGCCUGGGGAGUACGGCCGCAAGGUUAAAACUCAAAUGAAUUGACGGGGGCCCGCACAAGCGGUGGAGCAUGUGGUUUAAUUCGAUGCAACGCGAAGAACCUUACCUGGUCUUGACAUCCACGGAAGUUUUCAGAGAUGAGAAUGUGCCUUCGGGAACCGUGAGACAGGUGCUGCAUGGCUGUCGUCAGCUCGUGUUGUGAAAUGUUGGGUUAAGUCCCGCAACGAGCGCAACCCUUAUCCUUUGUUGCCAGCGGUCCGGCCGGGAACUCAAAGGAGACUGCCAGUGAUAAACUGGAGGAAGGUGGGGAUGACGUCAAGUCAUCAUGGCCCUUACGACCAGGGCUACACACGUGCUACAAUGGCGCAUACAAAGAGAAGCGACCUCGCGAGAGCAAGCGGACCUCAUAAAGUGCGUCGUAGUCCGGAUUGGAGUCUGCAACUCGACUCCAUGAAGUCGGAAUCGCUAGUAAUCGUGGAUCAGAAUGCCACGGUGAAUACGUUCCCGGGCCUUGUACACACCGCCCGUCACACCAUGGGAGUGGGUUGCAAAAGAAGUAGGUAGCUUAACCUUCGGGAGGGCGCUUACCACUUUGUGACUCAUA
rnacentral:rRNA from 1 species